rnacentral:rRNA from 1 species
UCGAACGAACUUAACCAUAAGUUUACUUUUGGAGCGGUUAGUGGCGGACUGGUGAGUAACGCGUAAGGAAUCUGCCUAUAAGAGGGGAAUAACAGUGAGAAAUCAUUGCUAAUACCGCAUAAGCUCUGAAUAUCGCAUGAUAAAAAGAGAAAAGGAGAAAUCCGCUUAUAGAUGAUCUUGCGUCUGAUUAGUUAGUUGGUGAGGUAAAGGCCCACCAAGACGAUGAUCAGUAGCCGGACUGAGAGGUUGAACGGCCACAUUGGGACUGAGAUACGGCCCAGACUCCUACGGGAGGCAGCAGUCGGGAAUAUUGCGCAAUGGAGGAAACUCUGACGCAGUGACGCCGCGUGCAGGAAGAAGGUUUUCGGAUUGUAAACUGCUUUAGAUAGGGAAGAAAAAAAUGACAGUACCUAUAGAAUAAGCUCCGGCUAACUACGUGCCAGCAGCCGCGGUAAUACGUAGGGAGCGAGCGUUAUCCGGAUUUAUUGGGUGUAAAGGGUGCGUAGAUGGAUAAACAAGUUGGUUGUGAAAUCCCUCGGCUUAACUGAGGAAUUGCAACCAAAACUGUAGAUCUUGAGUACUGGAGGGGAAAGCGGAAUUCCUAGUGUAGCGGUGAAAUGCGUAGAUAUUAGGAAGAACACCGGUGGCGAAGGCGGCUUUCUGGACAGAAACUGACAUUGAGGCACGAAAGUGUGGGGAGCAAACAGGAUUAGAUACCCUGGUAGUCC